GAUGAAGAACGUAGCGAAAUGCGAUAAGUAAUGUGAAUUGCAGAAUUCAGUGAAUCAUCGAAUAUUUGAACGCACAUUGCGCCCGGUAGUAUUCUGCCGGGCAUGCCUGUUCGAGCGUCAUUUCAACCAUCAAGCCCCAGCGCUUGUGUUGGGGGCCUGCGGCUGCCGCAGCCCCCUAAAAGCAGUGGCGGGCUCGCUAUCACACCGAGUGCAGUAGUUCAUCUUCUCUCCGGUCUUGUGAGGCGGGUUCCGGCCGUGAAACACCCCACUACAUUCAAGGUUGACCUCGGAUCAGGUAGGAAUACCCGCUGAACUUAAGCAUAUCAAUAAGCGGAGGA
rnacentral:misc_RNA from 1 species